ACUGCCCCUUGAGGCGUUGCAGCCCAACUUUCAGUGUUGCAGCUGUGUCAUAAGGUGGCAGAGAGAGGCCGGUGGUAGUCUGCACUGAGACUCUACAACACAACUGAGGGCUCGGAGUGAAUCUCACCACCAACACU
ensembl:snoRNA small nucleolar RNA SNORA17